rnacentral:rRNA from 1 species
GACAGAGGGUGCAAACGUUGUUCGGAAUUACUGGGCGUAAAGUGUGCGCAGGCGGCCAUGCAAGUCGAGUGUGAAAGCCCCGAGCUUAACUUGGGAAUUGCGCUCGAAACUACGUGGCUGGAGUGUGGCAGAGGAAGGUGGAAUUCCACGUGUAGCGGUGAAAUGCGUAGAGAUGUGGAGGAACACCAAUGGCGAAGGCAGCCUUCUGGGCCAACACUGACGCUCAUGCACGAAAGCGUGGGGAGCAAACAGG